rnacentral:lncRNA from 10 species
GUUGGUUCUCCAGAAAUUCCCUGAUUGUAAAAUAUCUGAUCUCGUGAAAAUGAAGUCAGCACUUCCCAGAAGUUGAGAGGCCUGAAGGGGGAGUAAAAACCGAUUUCAAAUCCUGCCUGGAGGGAACCUGCUCAGGAGGUCCUGGAAGGUGGAGGCAGGCUCUCAUCGCCUGUCUUUAUUAAAUAAAGCCCUAAAGCCCUAGACUGUGGUGCUCGAAACUUUUUAAGGGAUGCCUGACUCCUCAAGAAGUCUGUACCAUUUGAAUGAGCUCUAGUUGAAAGAAAGGUUUUUAUAAUAUAUUCAAAGUGGAAAUCUUUCUUACUUUGUUUUUUUGUUUGUUUUUUGAGACGAGGUCUUGCUCUGUCACCUGGAUGAAGUGCAGUGGCACAGUCUUGGCUCACUGCAGCCUUAAACUCCCAGGCUCAAGUGAUUCCCCUGCCUCAGCCUCCUAAAUAGCUGAGACUAUAGGUGUGCACCACUGUGUUGCCCAGGCUGGUCUUGAACUCCUGGAUUCAAGCACCCACCUACCUUGUCCUCCCAAAGUGCUGAGACUACAGACGUGAACCACCA